ACAGCAGCCGCCGCGGGAAUACAGAGGGUGCGAGCGUUAAUCGGAUUUACUGGGCGUAAAGCGUGCGUAGGCGGCUUCUUAAGUCGGAUGUGAAAUCCCUGAGCUUAACUUAGGAAUUGCAUUCGAUACUGGGAAGCUAGAGUAUGGGAGAGGAUGGUAGAAUUCCAGGUGUAGCGGUGAAAUGCGUAGAUAUCUGGAGGAAUACCGAUGGCGAAGGCAGCCAUCUGGCCUAAUACUGACGCUGAGGUACGAAAGCAUGGGGAGCAAACAGGAUUAGAUACCCCUGUAGUCCCUGUCUCUUAUAC
rnacentral:rRNA from 1 species